CGGGGCGUAGCUCAGCUUGGUAGAGCACCUGGUUUGGGACCAGGGGGUCGUAGGUUCGAAUCCUGUCGCCCCGA
rnacentral:tRNA from 1 species